rnacentral:lncRNA from 1 species
UAGUAGUAGUAGUAGUAGUAGCAGAAGCAGUAGUAGUAGUAGCAGCAGUAGUAGUAGUAGCAGUAGUAGUAAUAUUAAUGUUAGUAGUAGCAACAGCAGUAGCAGUAGUAGUAGUUGUAGUAGUAGUGGUAGUGGUAGUAAUGGUAGUAGUAGCAACAGCAGUAGUAGUACUAGUCACAGUAGUAAUAGUGGUAGUAGCAGUAGCAGCAGUAGUAGCAGUAGCAGCAGUAGUAGUAGUAGCAGUAGUAGUAGUGGUAGUAGCAGCAGUAGAAGUAGAAGUAGUAGUGGUAGUAGUAGUAGUAGCAGUAGUAGUAGUAGUAGUAGUAGUAGUAGCGGUAGUCGUAGUAGUAGUAGUAGCACCACCAAACCCUCUCCACAUGUCUCCGCACCAUAAAGGACUUUGUUAAACUUCAGGCGAGCGGAAGACGGGAUGUGUGGGGUUAUUCUGAAUGACAUGUUACUGAUGAUAUAGUAGUAGUAGUAGUAGUAGUAGUAGUAGUAGUAGUAGUAGCAGUAGCAGUAGUAGCAGCAGUAGUAGUAGUAGUAGUAGUAGCAGUAGUGGUAGCAGAAGUAGUAUUAGUAGUAGUAAUAGUAGUAAUAGUGGUAGUAGUAGUAAUGGUAGUAGUAGUAGCAGUAGUAGUAGUAACAGCAGUAGUUGUAGCAGCAGUAGUAGUAGCAGUAGUACUGGUAGUAGUAGUAGUAGCAGUAGUAGUAGUAUUAAUGUUAGUAGUAGCAACAGCAGUAGCAGUAGUAGUAGUUGUGGUAGUAUUAGUAGUAAUGGUAGUAGUAGCAACAGCUGUAGCAGUAGUAGUAGUAGUAGUAGUAGAAGUAGUAGUAGUAGUAGCAGUAGUAGUAGUAUUAAUGUUAGUAGUAGCAACAGCAGUAGUAGUAGUAGUAGUACUAGUCACAGUAGUAAUAGUGGUAGUAGCAGUAGCAGCAGUAGUAGCAGUAGCAGCAGUAGUAGUAGUAGCAGUAGUAGUAGUGGUAGUCGCAGGAGCAGUAGUAUUAGUAGUAAUAGCAGUAGCAGUAGCAGUAGUAGUAGCAGUAGUAGCAGCAGUAGUAGUAGUAGCAGCAGUAGAAGUAGUAGUAGUAGUGGUAGUAGUAGUAGUAGUAGUAGUAGUAGUGGUGGUAGUAGUAGUAGUAAUGGUAGUAGUAACAACAGCAGUAGCAGUAGUGGUAGUAGUAGUAGUAGUAGUAGUAGUAGUAGCAGUAGUAGUAGUAUUAAUGUUAGUAGUAGCAACAGCAGUAGCAGUAGUAGUAGUAGUAGUAUUGGUAGUAUUAGUAGUAAUGGUAGUAGUAGCAAUAGCAGUAGCAGUAGUAGUAGUAGUAGUAUUAGUAGAAGUAGUAGUAGUAGUAGUGGUAUUAAUGGUAGUAGUAGCAACAGCAAUAGUAGUAGUAGUAGUAGUAAUGGUAGUAGUAGCAACAGCAGUAGGUGUACUAGUCACAGUAGUAAUAGUGGUAGUAGCAGUAGCAGCAGUAGUAGCAGUAGCAGCAGUAGUAGUAGUUGCAGUAGUAGUAGUGGUAGUUGCAGGAGCAGUAGUAUUAGUAGUAAUAGCAGUAGCAGUAGUAGCAGCAGUAGUAGUAGUAGCAGCAGUAGAAGUAGUAGCAGCAGUAGAAGUAGUAGUAGUAGUGGUAGUAGUAGUAGUAGUAGUAGUAGUGGUGGUAGUAGUAGUAAUGGUAGUAGUAACAACAGCAGUAGCAGUAGUAGUAGUAGUAGUAGGUGUAGGAGUAGUAGUAGUAGCAACAGCAGUAGUAGUACUUGUCGCAGUAGUAGUGGUAGUAGCAGCAGCAGUAGUAGUAGCAGCAGUAGUAGAGGUAGUAAUAGCAGUAGUAGUAGUUGUUGUAGUAGUAAUGGUAGCAGUAUUAGUAGUAGUAGUAUCAGUAGUGGUAGUGGUAGUAGUAUUAGCAACAGCAGUAGUAGUACUAGUCGCAAUAGCAGUAGCAGUAGUAGUAGCAGGAGCAGUAGUAGAAGUAGUAAUAGCAGUAGUAGUGGUAGUAGCAGGAGCAGUAGUAGAAGUACUAAUAGCAGUAGCAGUAAUAGUAGCAGUAGUAGUAGCAGUAGCAGCAGUAGCAGCGGUAGUAGUGGUAGUAGCAGGAACAGUAGUAGAAGUAGUAAUAGCAGUAGCAGUAGUAGUAGCAGCAGUAGUAGUAGUGGUAGUAGCAGGAGUAGCAGUAGAAGUAGUAAUAGCAGUAGCAGUAGCAGUAGCAGUAGCAGUAGUAGUAGCAGUAGUAGUAGCGGUAGUAGUAGCAGUAGCUGUAGUAGUAGGUACAUCUGUAUUAGACGCUUUCUAAUACAGAUGUACCUAAAAUAUACCACACCCCCUUGUGCUUUAUUGCUUACAUUUGUCAUGCUAUAAACCCAGACUGUCUCUGUCCUUAUUCCCCCAGCCCAAACAGAGCAGGGAUUUGAGCUGAAACACAAGUAGAGGUUGGAGACAGAGAGGGUGAGAAGGGGGCAGGGGGCAAGAAUGGUAGCAUGGGUACCCCCCUUCCAAACCCAACCUAGUCAAACUGACUCCUGGGCCGGGGUAGCAGUAGACCGAACUCUGGGGGACACGGGAGAGAGAUAAGGAGAGAGGAGGGGUUACGUGGAGGGUGUAUCGAGGCAGAUACACAGUCAAGCACCCACAUCUCCUGUGUGAGCAUCAUGCACGCACCCUCUCAUUCACCCUCUCUCUGCCUCCUUCCCUGUGCACCUUGUGUGGAAUAAAAUACCUUUUAUGUCCUCCCUCCCUCUCUGUAACGAGAUGAUGGACCCUGAUAGCGCUGGUGAUUACAGAACCGCAGUAGGACCCAGCCUUCCCCCAAAACAAAGUGUUUUUCAGCUUCUGUUUUUUCAGGCCCUGGCGCCACCCGGAGAACCGUAAACAAUAAACAUUGGCCAACGGAGGCCCCAAGCUUUUUAUACCUGAUUCAUGGACAGUUAUACACACAUAUUCACAUGUACGCGCACAUACACAUCAACACAAGUAGACGGUCGAAACGCCCCCACACACACUCAUAGUGUAACACUGUGAGUAAUCUGAUUCAGACUGUGCAGGUGAGGUGAUGAGGUGAAGGGUUUGAACGCCGCAUGCUUCCUGUCGCGCUGUCAUCAUCCACAUGCGCGCAAUUACACGCACACACACACAAACACAAGCACACACACACACAUACACAAACACACACACACACACACACUUUUCAAAGAUAGGCUUUUCCAUGUCUUAUCUCCAUCACCUGCUCUCUGUUCACUCAGCAGCAGAUCUAUCAUAACAACCAGUGUUACCCCCAAUGUACUGUAACACACACACACACACACACACACACACACACACACACACACACACAC